GGACGCGGCUUUCUCCACAAGCUGCCUCAUAAGGUCCUCCAUCGCAGAGCUGGUCCGGAUUCUUUGCUGUCAGCUCCAGAAUGCGCUGUAAGUAACUGAAACUUUCUUUUCUUACAGGUGACUCGUGCUGACCGUUACCCACGGACCAAUCACGAUCCACCAGUGACCUCGAGAUCAAGUUCAGUCCAGCACUAUACAGGAUUUACAAAGGACCGACAUUUCUUCACAAGUGGGCAGUAAACACAGUUCCCACAGGGGAUAUUUCAUCAUUAAUAGUAAUCCCCAUCGCAGAGUGGUUGAAGUUGUCUCCAUUCCGGCAGCAAACAGGUCCAUCACCAGUGUGCUCAGAUUUUCAUUAUUAUAAUAUAAUUUAGAUUCAGGUUUUCCCUUAAUGCAGAAAGUGAAUAGUUAUGUGUCAGACAGCCUAGAUUGUUCUGGGAAGUGUAGCAAGCGUCAUUCCUACUAUCUGAUUUGUGAGUGAUGUUACGACAAGUGGACCAUAAAUCGCUGGAUUAGGUUGAGAGUAUCCCACCGGCCAGGGGUAUCCCCGCUUAUCGUUUCAUACAAUACCUUGUGUGCGACUGACUAUACUUUGAAGGAAAGACAGUUAAGAGCUACACAUCUGCAAUCCCAGAGAUUCUGAUCACCAACAAUCCCAGAGAUUCUGAUCACCAACUGCAUUCCUAGAGGCAUGUUCUCCUUUUAAGAAGACCACAAAGUGAUCGGAGAAGAAAAAUCUACAUUGCUAAUCGCAUGACUACGAAGGAGACCUUAUUGCUACAUAUAUCCCGGUUCGGGUAAAGGCAUGAAUUUGGUUUCACUGGA